UCCCUUCUCAUUUUUUCUCCGCCAAAGAUUCAUCUCCUCUCCAUCUCUGAAGAUUCAUGUCUUCUCCUCUGAAGUUUCAUCUCCUCUCCAUCUCUUUAGAACUGCGUGAUUAUAGAACUUCAUCUCUCUUUCAGCUCUAGACCCACUGAAAUCAAUAGCCAGGGGUUUCAAUUGUGGAUCUGCUUUUUUCGAUUUCAGGGUUACAUCUUUGAAUCUGCUAUGAGAAAGCUUGAAAUCAUUCCAGUCGAUUUCCAUUAUUGAAUAAUUUGUCUCAAGUAAAUUAGGUCAAACAAAUUUUAAGGAGAUUCAAUCAAAUUUCAGGCAGGUGCCGAUCCAAAUGGUGCACCAGAUGGAAUAAAAGCUCUUCCACUUGCUGUAGGGGUAACACAAAUCAUCAACCCGCUGGUUGAUGCUGGUGCAGAUUAGAUGUUAAAAAUAUACUGUUGUCAGUAAUCCUCAAGGUGUUGAGAUUCUUUUUCCUGUGACUUAUCAUAUUCCAUCAUAUGAUGACUGGAGCAUAAAUGAAAUAAUGAAGCAUGUGGAAUCUAAGAAGUUCAAGAAAAAGAUGAAUCGUAAUUCAGCGGAGUAUUUUUCUUGAGGUAAAAUCAAGGGGAACAAAUGCAUUCCAGAAGGAGUAUUGGCUGGCGGUAUAUUGGUACUCAAAUGUACCUUUUCUUAACAAGAAAUACUCUAAAGCUUAACGUUUGAAUGAAUUUUACUUUAAUUGAUAUAUUUUUUAUGGAAGGUGAAAUAAGAAUGCAUACACCUUCCAAGUAUUAUUUAGUGACUUUUAUGCAUUUCAUAACUUUAUAUGUAAUACAAAUUGGAUGAUUUGGGAAUUGUCACAUUUGAUUUUGAUGGUUGUCUUGCGAACACCGAUGUGGGAAGGUAAUGUAAUUUUUUUGAGAACAAUUACCGUUUCUACUCUUAGAUUUUUCUGUUGAAUAUCCUGUAUUGUAUGCCAUGUCCGAGAUCACAAGUGUCCAGCUCAUUUUUCAUAUGCUCUUCCCAAAUUUUUCCAUCUGUCCUCCUUGUGAUCCCAUUUUUAAAGGGUAAUACUAAUGAAGGUUAAAAAAUAAGGGUUGUAUGUGUUCUUUGGAGGCCUGGCAUGGGCAUAAGAUCUGAAAGAUCCUCCUAAGCUCAAACUAAAAAAUUUGGAGGCCUGGCAUGGGCAUAACCCUGGUCUUUGUGAAGUUUAUUGAUAUACAUGAUUCAUCUUGACACUUUUAGCUCUUUUUAAGUGUUUCACUCGAUGUGCUUGCACCUAGUAUCAGGGCAAUUUUUAACUGUCUUUCCUGGUCAAAGGUCUGGCAAGAUAAUUGUUUAUCGUCAUUGAAAGUCCCCUAACCAGUGCUUCUACAUGUUAUGAUAUUUAAUGAGUUUUGUCUGUGAUUUUUACAUAAUUGCGCAAAAGUAGCCACCUGGUAUCGUCAUCGAUGGUCUCCGGGUGUAUAAAGGCCGGAAGACUAUCAAAUAUGAUGGUGUUGCUGGGUUUACCGCGGGUUCAACAUUUCUUGUGUUGAAAUUGUUGUCUUCUGUGGUCUCUACUUCGGAUUGUACGACUCUCUAAAGCAGUUCUUUUGAAUGGAUAGUUUCUUGCUUCUCCACAUGCUUGUGGUACAUCUAGAUGGAUGUUCAGAAGUACUCUAUUAUGCCAUAUCUUUCCAACGACGACCAAAAGUCUGUAUAUGAGUCACCAACACCGGCAAAAAUGAUUGUUCUUUUUCCGUCUUUUCCAACAGCUUGACAUGUUCAGCAGACCAAUGUGCAUUGUCCUAGUACAUUGUUGGGUCCUAUAUGGUAGGAUCCCAGGAUGGGAAGGUAGGGAUGACCGUGGAUUAUGAUCUCGGACUAGCUCAACUUCAGCAUCAGCUUUCUGCAAAUGAACCAGGCGCGCUUAUGCAACUUGUUGAGGGCACUACGGAGGAAGAUAAUAUAUCUUUAAGUGUGAAGGAAGGUAUUUGGGAUUAAGAAAAGCAGUACUCUGGUGAUAUUGUAGCUUGCAGAGGAAUUUGUUUAAGCAAGAGGAGUCUCGUUAUACUUCUGGUGGAGUUCAAUCUUACUCAUAUAUUAGUCUUUCUUUCCCUGUUUUUCAAUGCCUCUUUCAGUUGACACAAACUAGGUCACCAUCAAUUUAUGAAUGACGACAUAGAACAUUGUAUGUCAAGUCACAAAAAUUUGGGACUUGAUGAUCAUCUCAGUAAGUUAGCUCUGAUACUUGUAUACAUUUUUAUCAAAUACUCAUACUUUUUGUUAACUUCAAUUAAAGAAUAUUUUAUCAUAAUAUAA